UACGAAGGGGACUAGCGUUGUUCGGAAUUACUGGGCUUGAAGCGCACGUAGGCGGCGUUGUAAGUGUCGGGUGAAAUCCCACGGCUCACCCGUGGAACUGCCCGGCAUACUGGGAUGCUAGAGUGUGGUAGGGGAGAGCGGAACUCCUGGUGGAGCGGUGAAAUGCGUAGAUAUCAGGAGGAACACCGGUGGCGAAGGCGGCUCUCUGGUCCACAACUGACGCUGAGGUGCGAAAGCUAGGGGAGCAAACGGG
rnacentral:rRNA from 1 species